rnacentral:rRNA from 1 species
GGGCAGCUGCAUGCUGCAGUCGACGAUUAGAGUUUGAUCCUGGCUCAGGAUGAACGCUGACAGAAUGCUUAACACAUGCAAGUCGACUGGAAUUUAUCUUCGGAUAAUAGUACGGUGGCGGACGGGUGAGUAACGCGUAAAGAAUUUGCCCUCUAGACUGGGACAACUAACUGAAAAGUUAGCUAAUACCAGAUAUUAUGAGACCUUGGCAUCAAGGACUCAUGAAAGCUAUAUGCGCUGGAGGAGAACUUUGCGUCCCAUUAGUUAGUUGGUAGGGUAAUGGCCUACCAAGGCGACGAUGGGUAGCCGGCCUGAGAGGGUGAACGGCCACAAGGGGACUGAGACACGGCCCUUACUCCUACGGGAGGCAGCAGUGGGGAAUAUUGGACAAUGGACCAAAAGUCUGAUCCAGCAAUUCUGUGUGCACGAUGAAGGUCUUCGGAUUGUAAAGUGCUUUCAGGUGGGAAGAAGAAAGUGACGGUACCACCAGAAGAAGCGACGGCUAAAUACGUGCCAGCAGCCGCGGUAAUACGUAUGUCGCAAGCGUUAUCCGGAAUUAUUGGGCGUAAAGCGAGUCUAGGCGGCUUGUUAAGUCAGAUGUGAAAAUGCGGGGCUCAACUCCGUAUUGCGUUUGAAACUGGCAUGCUAGAGUACUGGAGAGGUGGGCGGAACUACAAGUGUAGAGGUGAAAUUCGUAGAUAUUUGUAGGAAUGCCGAUAGUGAAGACAGCUCACUGGACAGAUACUGACGCUAAAGCUCGAAAGCGUGGGGAGCGAACAGGAUUAGAUACCCUGGUAGUCCACGCCGUAAACGAUGUUCACUGGGUGUAGGGGGUCGAACCUCUGUGCCGAAGCUAACGCGAUAAGUGAACCGCCUGGGGAGUACGCACGCAAGUGUGAAACUCAAAGGAAUUGACGGGGACCCGCACAAGCGGUGGAGCAUGUGGUUUAAUUCGACGCAACGCGAGGAACCUUACCAGCACUUGACAUACAACGAACUAAUUAGAGAUGAUAAGGUGCCACUUCGGUGGAACGUUGAUACAGGUGGUGCAUGGCUGUCGUCAGCUCGUGCCGUGAGGUGUCGGGUUAAGUCCCAUAACGAGCGCAACCCACGUUGUUAGUUACCAGCACGUCAAGGUGGGGACUCUAACAAGACUGCCGGUGUAAACCGCGAGGAAGGUGUGGAUGACGUCAAAUCAGCACGGCCCUUACGUCCAGGGCUACACACGUGUUACAAUGGUCGGUACAGAGGGUCGCUACUAUGUGAAUAGAUGCUAAUCUCGAAAGCCGAUCUCAGUUCGGAUCGAAGUCUGCAACCCGACUUCGUGAAGCUGGAUUCGCUAGUAAUCGCGCAUCAGCCAUGGCGCGGUGAAUACGUUCCCGGGCCUUGUACACACCGCCCGUCAAACCAUGGAAGCCGGGGGUACCUGAAGUCUGUGACCGUAAGGAGCGGCCUAGGGUAAAUCUGGUAACUAGGGUUAAGUCGUAACAAGGCCGUAAAUCUCUAGAGUCCCGA